rnacentral:rRNA from 1 species
UGGGGAAUAUUGGACAAUGGGGGCAACCCUGAUCCAGCAAUGCCGCGUGUGUGAAGAAGGUCUUCGGAUUGUAAAGCACUUUCGACGGGGACGAUGAUGACGGUACCCGUAGAAGAAGCCCCGGCUAACUCCGUGCCAGCAGCCGCGGUAAUACGAAGGGGGCUAGCGUUGCUCGGAAUGACUGGGCGUAAAGGGCGUGUAGGCGGUUUACACAGUCAGAUGUGAAAUCCCCGGGCUUAACCUGGGAGCUGCAUUUGAUACGUGUAGACUAGAGUGUGAGAGAGGGUUGUGGAAUUCCCAGUGUAGAGGUGAAAUUCGUAGAU